rnacentral:rRNA from 1 species
UACGAAGGGGGCUAGCGUUGCUCGGAAUCACUGGGCGUAAAGGGUGCGUAGGCGGGUCUUUAAGUCAGGGGGGAAAUCCUGGAGCUCAACUCCAGAACUGCCUUUGAUACUGAGGAUCUUGAGUUCGGGAGAGGUGAGUGGAACUGCGAGUGUAGAGGUGAAAUUCGUAGAUAUUCGCAAGAACACCAGUGGCGAAGGCGGCUCACUGGCCCGGUACUGACGCUGAGGUGCGAAAGCGUGGGGAGCAAACAGG